rnacentral:lncRNA from 1 species
GGGGAUAGUUUUGUGCUUUUUACUGAAAACUAGAACGCAUUCUUGACGCGGCCUAGGGGAUAGUUUUGUGCUUUUUACUGAAAACUAGAACGCAUUCUUGAUAGGCAAAUCACAAGCCACAGGCGGUUACCAGCUAUAAUGGCAUAGUCUAGAGUGCGUGCCAUUUUUCACAGGCGGUUACCAGCUAUAAUGGCAUAGUCUAGAGUGCGUGCCAUUUUUCCUUUCGAAUAGUGGAUUUUGCAGUUAUUAAGGAAAUGGUCGGUUUUCCUUGUUUUUGGAAGCAACCUUUUGGGCCAGGGCAAGCAGUCGAGCGCAAAUAGUUGGAUUUCCUAAUCAAAGCAGGGUCAUAUAGGGGUGCUGUUGUCAAAUCAUGGAGGGUUUAAAGUAGUUGAAGCACUAAAAUAUUAUUUUCCUUCCAUGAAAUCAUGAAACACAUUGCGAUUUUUCUCCUUUCUUGUGUUUCAUAAAUCACCACUUGAAUAAAGAUCCUUCUCUCUUAGUUUAAAUAUAUGAACGAAAUGAGACACCCUUUUCUACGUUCAUGUGUUUGUCGAUAUUUUGAUACUCAAGUACUCCUUUAUGGAUUUAAUUAUGCCGUACGUGUAUUUUAUGAAGAUCAAAUGGAUUUAGUUGGGCAGCAUCGCUAUUGCUAUUUGAUUUGUCAUAUUGUAAUUUUAUCAAAAAAGAUCAAUCUGAUCUCUUAAUUAUAUCAUGACAAAUGAUUGAAAUGCAUGAGCAGUUAUUUUGUUUCAAUGCUAUACAGUAUAUUUAUAUAUGUGUGUGUUUAAAAUUUUGGAUACAUCAAACAUGCAAUUUCGACAACCAGCCACUCCUUCUCGCGUUUCAGCAAUUAAUGCCGAAGAAUUCUGCUCUUAAUCACUAUGCUUCUCUUCCUUUGUCAAAGAAAUCUUUAUUUUGCUCGCAGCACCAUGUUGCAAUGCACGUAUUUCAAGCAUCCGUCUAGCAUAAACAAAGACAAGAUGCUUCAAACUAAUUGUGUCAAAUGUUUAUAUCUUUUCAAGUCGUCGUCGUUGUCAUUAAUUAAUCAAUUUAAGCAGUUCUAUACAUUUUUUCUUUUUUUAAAAAGAAAAAAGCAGAAGAAAGUUAGCCCC